rnacentral:rRNA from 1 species
UCGAGGAUCUUCGUCAAUGGGGGAAACCCUGAACGAGCGAUGCCGCGUGAGCGAUGAAGGCCUUCGGGUUGUAAAGCUCAAAAGAGGUGAGAAAGGGAAACUUGAUCAAACCUCAGUAAGCUCGGGCUAAGUUCGUGCCAGCAGCCGCGGUAAGACGAACCGAGCGAACGUUGUUCGGAAUCACUGGGCUUAAAGGGCGCGUAGGCGGGUUUGCAAGUCCGUGGUGAAAUACCUCAGCUCAACUGAGGAACUGCCUCGGAUACUGCGAGUCUCGAGGGUGGUAGGGGUAUGCGGAACUAUCGGUGGAGCGGUGAAAUGCGUUGAUAUCGAUAGGAACUCCGGUGGCGAAGGCGGCAUACUGGACCACUUCUGACGCUGAGGCGCGAAAGCCAGGGGAGCAAACGGGGAUUAGAUACCCUUGUAGUCCCUGAGCGGGCUGGCAAGGCGCAU